UACGAAGGGGGCUAGCGUUGUUCGGAAUUACUGGGCGUAAAGGGCGCGUAGGCGGUGUGUCAAGUCAGGCGUGAAAGCCCCGGGCUCAACCUGGGAACCGCGCUUGAGACUGGCACGCUCGAGUUCGGGAGAGGAUGGUGGAAUUCCCAGUGUAGAGGUGAAAUUCGUAGAUAUUGGGAAGAACACCGAUGGCGAAGGCAGCCAUCUGGACCGACACUGACGCUGAGACGCGAAAGCGUGGGGAGCAAACAGG
rnacentral:rRNA from 1 species